rnacentral:rRNA from 1 species
UACGGAGGGUGCAAGCGUUUAUCCGGAUUCACUGGGUUUAAAGGGUGCGUAGGAGGGUAGGUAAGUCAGUGGUGAAAUCUUCGAGCUUAACUCGGAAACUGCCGUUGAUACUAUCUAUCUUGAAUACCGUGGAGGUGAGCGGAAUAUGUCAUGUAGCGGUGAAAUGCUUAGAUAUGACAUAGAACACCAAUUGCGAAGGCAGCUCGCUACACGAAUAUUGACUCUGAGGCACGAAAGCGUGGGGAUCAAACAGG